CAUGGUAAGUAGCAAGUUAAGAGGCUUUAUUUGUUCACCUUUUAAAACUAAGUGCUUGAAUUAAAUCAUGGGGAUAAUUAUUUAACUGCACCUUUUUAGCAGUUUCCGAUGAGGUUUUUCAGCUCUGAGAGCCAAGCAGUGACCCAUCUUGGUCUUGGUACCUAACGUGGCAAACAGUUGUGUGUGGACCAUAAAGCAGUCUCAAAGACCUCACUAGAAGCCCCAUUUUAAGAAGUUGGCAACUGAGGAAAAACAGGAAGUAUGACCUCCCAAUUUUUCUUUCUUAAAGUCAGGAUAUAAUGUAAAAUGUAAUCAAUGUGACCUGAGGAAGAAGGGCGGCCUACUCAGGAGUGAACACUCUUUUGUGUUUGAUUACAAAGUUGUCCCAGCCUCCUCAGGCAGAAGGACACAGCUAUUCUCAAAAGCUUCUCAAAAACAGGAUAUUUCCUUACCUUGUUUGUCUUGAGAAUCUUAGGCAUUUCCCUGUCCAGGCCUACUGAGUCCACAUCCCCAGUGGGCCAAGUAGGAUUUGCAGCUACUGUAGAAAAAGCUUGCUGGGUGGAAACGACUCCAAGAUAUAUAGUUUCAGGUAGUCGAUAGUGACAGCACCAUGGGGACAGUCAAGGGCAACAGAACACAGCCAAGGCUUGAGGCUUGAG
rnacentral:lncRNA from 1 species